AUAUAUAUAUAUAUAUAUAUAUAUAUAUAUAUAUAUAUAUAUAUAUAUGGGGCUCGGGAGUAUCACGUGACGUGUAGCAGCCCUGGGAUUGGUGGCGGAACAGUUUGGGAGACAGUGGCGGGAAAACACUGGUGAGGGAAGAAAGCCCGCACGUCGCCGACACUGCCUCCUGUACUUGUAUGUGCCUUUGUGAGCUGGAGCGAGGCGUCAAGAAGCCUUCUGAGGGUCGACAAGAGGCCUGGGGUGCCGAGCUAUAGCAUAGGACUACUGUGUAGUGUGAGCAACAGAGAAUAGAGGGCCAGAAGCCGACAAGUGUGUUUUACUAUUCGCCUUCUGAGGGGAGCCAGGGGAGAACACGGAGCGCCGCAGGGUAAGUUCACCGUCACGUAUGCAGGAAGCACCGGACCCUAAAAGUGUAAGUGUGACGGCCCACGGGGUGGUGAAGUUACAAUAUAUAAUACAGUUUCUCUUGUCUCACCGAUUUGCUUUUUUUUUACACACUAGACUGCGACGGGUCCUGAAAAUGAACACGCCAGCUGUGCACUUACUCUGCAUAGCAUAUUAAUUUCACUGAUUGAUAACCAGCGGCAACGUCACUAAGGUCAUAUCUGGGCUCUAUAUAUUAAGGGACAGGUUGAAUGUCAGUUUUUUCAAUCCACAGUUUAUUUAUUCCUUAUUUUCUACCGACAUCGCACCAGAAAAGUCGGGAAUCGACUUCCAAGAUAACUGGUACGCAUAAUUGCCUCGCAUGCUGCUGCUGCUGUUGUUGUUGUUGUUGUUGUUGCGUCGGUUUUUUUACUUUCAAUUUUCUAUCGGCAUCGCCACCAGAAAAGUCGCAAAUGAAAUAUAUCUGAGAGAGAGUUAAUACGCAUGCUGCUGCUGCUGCUGCUCUUGUUGUUGCGUCACUGGGAAGAGUUCAGCGAAUAUUAAAAAAGUUUUCUUGGUUUAGUUUUCACUCACUUCAACAACUUUCUGCUCACUUUCCCCCUGUUCACCCUUUUCUCUGACAAUCUCGCCCUCACGCACUCCUGCUUCUUCCAUUUUGGCUAUCCAUUGAUUUACGGCGCAGUCUUCUCAGUAAAGGUGAUGAACGGAAGGCGAUACUGGUCAGCUUAUGCGAGGCGUGGGGCGAAAAAAAAAAAAAAGCUAAACAUGCACCCAAAGAUGUUAGGGAAGAUUGGCGUGGGAGUUUUGUUGGUAUGCCGAAGGGGAGUGGGUCUGUGGAUGAGAGAGAGAGAGAGAGAGAGAGAGAGAGAGAGAGAGAGAGAGAGAGAGAGAGAGAGAGGGUUGGUAGAGAGAGCCAAUCAAAUAUUUAUGCAAAACAUUUAAUGCUCAGUUCAUUCAAGGAGAUUCGUGGGAACUAUUUUUUUUUUUUUUUUUUUUUUUUUUUAGUGAAGAUGUUUUUGUAAUCACCUAUUUUGUCUUUGGAAGAAUUCUAUCUACUGGAAAAAAUUUACUUAAGCCUUUAUAUUAUUUCCUCUUAUGUACGCGUUGUUCGAUUGAAAUCAUAACAGUAUUUGAUCGGUUUUUUUCUACGGCCCAAAAUACAGUAAAAAAAAAAAAAAAAAAAAACGUUCAAGAUUUUAUUUUAUUUGCAUUUUAACAUGACUGGUGUAGCUGUCGGGGGAUGGAGAGGCUUAGGAAGGGAGGCAUACCUGAUACAUGGGUACAAAAAACGUGUGAAUUUAUAAGAAUACACUUUUCUUGGAGCAGUAAAUUCUUGUGGGGAAUGUCUGGAAGCGCCUGGGUACAACACUUAUCUCCCUAACACAGUGCUCCCGUCCCUGCGCAAGGCUUUUUCUGUAGUCACAAGUUCGGCUCUGUUGAUUCGAACGAUGCACAAGUAGAGAGAGUGAGAGAGUGAAGCAGCAAGGAUUCGUGGUGUCCUGUGUGGAGACUACCUUGCUUCUUUAUACUAUUAACGUGUCUCAGAGUCUAACCUAUUCAAAUAUUCCCCUUACACGUUCGCGGACUCCGUUGGGAAUGCGUGUUUAGUAAGCUGACAGGAUUACAAUGAAGAAUAAAGGUGUCACUGCAUUUACUGAUGCGAUGGUGGCUGAGUAAUGUACCAGACUCGCAGUAACCUGACUGUUUCAUGAAAUUCAAAGUCAGGAAGGCGUUUAGCAGCAGAAUUUUAGUAGGAUGUUGUGAAAAAUAGAUUUGUGAAGACUAUACUCGCACUAUAACUAGAUAAACAACAGUGAGUGAUGAUAGAUGGACGCUUAAAAAGUGAUAAUGAAGUAGGCAGAUAAUGGAGGAACAGCUGGGGGUAUCAGAUCAGGGGAUAGGAUGAGGCUGUGCUUGUCUCACUGGUCGCCAGUCACGCGUUCGAACUGGGUACUUAUAUUCGAAAGGGAUCAAAAGCUUUACACCAUCUUAGAAUCGUUUUGAUCACGCAGAUGCAUGUUGGUGUAGACAUAAUUUUACUUGAUGUAGAGAGAGAGAGAGAGAGAGAGAGAGAGAGAGAGAGAGAGAGAGAGAGAGAGAGAGAGAGAGAGAGAAUCGUUUUGAUCACGCAGAUGCAUAUUGGUGUAGACAUAAUUUUACUUGAUGUAGAGAGAGAGAGAGAGAGAGAGAGAGAGAGAGAGAGAGAGAGAGAGAGAGAGAGAGUCACGGAGGUGUUUGUCAGAUUCAUAGAUAUGGAUUCAGAGAUUCUGAGCUCAAGACUUUCCUAGCAUCUGUCUGACGUCGGGUUGAAAGAGUGUGUGCGUGGCGACGCGGUUGCGGGUACACGUGUUAGUGUGUGGUUUGACUUCCUUCCUUCUCAACUCGUCUCAUCGAUGAAGAUAUGCAGAGACUUGUCCUGACAGGUGAAGGCAGCAGUGGUGACCGUGGCUGCAGCUGUAGUAACUCGAGAAGUAAGGAAGGUUACCCAGCUCACUACAUUGACCUGCAUCUUGCUCACCCGAUGGAGGCUGGGUGUUCCACCACUAUGGGAACUGCCAGCCCGGUAGUCAUUCUCUACUACCAAAAGGGGUGGAGGAAUGUCCAUAGAUGUCUCUCCAGGGAUCUACAAAAUGACUCUUUGUAAACAAUGACAUACACACUGGAAUGUAUAUAGAUUAAAAAUUGAAAUACU